rnacentral:tRNA from 23 species
GCGGAAGUAGUUCAGUGGUAGAACGCCACCUUGCCAAGGUGGAGGUCGCGGGUUCGACCCCCGUCUUCCGCUCCA